rnacentral:rRNA from 1 species
GUAGCCUGCAACCCGGCCUACAUGAAGCUGGAAUCGCUAGUAAUCGCAGAUCAGAAUGCUGCGGUGAAUACGUUCCCGGGUCUUGUACACACCGCCCGUCACACCAUGGGAGCCGGGAAUGCCCGAAGUCGGUGACCCAACCGUAAGGAGGGAGCCGCCGAAGGCAGGCCUGGUAACUGGGUGAAGUCGUAACAAGGUAUC